UCGGGAAUUUUGGGCAAUGGGCGAAAGCCUGACCCAGCAACGCCGCGUGAAGGAUGAAGUCUUUCGGGAUGUAAACUUCGUAAAAAUAGGAAGAAUAAAUGACGGUACUAUUUGUAAGGUCCGGCUAACUACGUGCCAGCAGCCGCGGUAAUACGUAGGGACCAAGCGUUGUUCGGAUUUACUGGGCGUAAAGGGCGCGUAGGCGGCAAUUCAAGUCAUCUGUGAAAUCUCCGGGCUUAACUCGGAACGGUCAGAUGAUACUGCUUUGCUAGAGUGCAGAAGGGGCAAUCGGAAUUCUUGGUGUAGCGGUGAAAUGCGUAGAUAUCAAGAGGAACACCUGAGGUGAAGACGGGUUGCUGGGCUGACACUGACGCUGAGGCGCGAAAGCCAGGGGAGCAAACGGGAUU
rnacentral:rRNA from 1 species